rfam:Drosophila virilis strain TSC#15010-1051.87 Ctg01_1241, whole genome shotgun sequence.
CAACCUCAACUCAUAUGGGACUACCCCCUGAAUUUAAGCAUAUUAAUUAGGGGAGGAAAAGAAACUAACAAGGAUUUUCUUAGUAGCGGCGAGCGAAAAGAAAUCAGUUCAGCACUAAGUCACUUUGUCUAUAUGGCAAAUGUGAGAUGCAGUGUACGGAACAUCAACAUUCUAGUAUGAGAAGUUAACGAUUUAAGUCCUUCUUAAAUGAGGCCAUUUACCCAUAGAGGGUGCCAGGCCCGUAUAACGUUAAUGAUUACUAGAUGGUGUUUCCAAAGAGUCGUGUUGCUUGAUAGUGCAGCACUAAGUGGGUGGUAAACUCCAUCUAAAACUAAAUAUAACCAUGAGACCGAUAGUAAACAAGUACCGUGAGGGAAAGUUGAAAAGAACUCUGAAUAGAGAGUUAAAUAGUACGUGAAACUGCUUAGAGGUUAAGCCCGAUGAACCUGAAUAUCCGUUAUGGAAAAUUCAUCAUUAGAAUUG